UUUAAUCUUCAGGGCAGGGUGAAAUUCCCGAUCGGCGGUAAAGUCCGCGAGCCAAAGCAGUUGCUGCGGCAGGAAUCAGUGAAAUUCUGAUACCGACAGUUAAAGUCUGGAUGGAAGAAGAGCAAA
rnacentral:ncRNA from 2 species